AUUGAACGCUGGCGGCAUGCUUUACACAUGCAAGUCGAACGGCAGCGCGGGCUUCGGCCUGGCGGCGAGUGGCGAACGGGUGAGUAAUACAUCGGAACGUGCCCAGUAGUGGGGGAUAGCUCGGCGAAAGCCGGAUUAAUACCGCAUACGCCCUGAGGGUGAAAGCGGGGGAUCUUCGGACCUCGCGCUCUUGGAGCGGCCGAUGGCAGAUUAGCUAGUUGGUGGGGUAAAGGCCUCCCAAGGCGACGAUCUGUAGCUGGUCUGAGAGGACGACCAGCCACACUGGGACUGAGACACGGCCCAGACUCCUACGGGAGGCAGCAGUGGGGAAUUUUGGACAAUGGGCGAAAGCCUGAUCCAGCAAUGCCGCGUGUGUGAUGAAGGCCUUCGGGUUGUAAAGCACUUUUGGCGGGAACGAAAAGGACUGUGCCAAUACCACGGUUCGAUGACGGUACCCGCAGAAUAAGCACCGGCUAACUACGUG
rnacentral:rRNA from 1 species